rnacentral:lncRNA from 11 species
AUAAAACUGAAGGUGGGGGUGCUCAAUUUUGCAGCAUCUUGACUGAGAUCAACAGUUGGGAUUUUCAGCUUUAACUAGCUUGAAGAUUUGUUUCCAUAACCAUGACAUUAUAGUCAAAAUUAGAUACUGGAGGAGGGAAAAUAUAAUGUGUGCGAGUUCCUGCUAAUUCUUGCACAAUUUGUUAAGUUUUACAUUUGUGUUGCUCAAGACAGGAUGUCCUUUACAAAAGCAAAGGCAGAUGGUUUCGCUUAGAGGUUCCUUGUUCACAGCUUGCACAAGGAACACUACAAAGAGGAACUUUGGAUCUCUUACCAGGAAAAUCCAGUAUUGCAACACAAGUUAAUGGCCACAGAGUUUCUCUUUAAGCUUACCUGGCACAGUCGGCUCUGCCAGAUGUAGGUCUGCUAUCACAUCAUUUGAUCUGCUGACAAUGUGCACUGCCUUUUAGAGAAAAAAGAAAGGAAAAAAGGGGAAGGAAAUG